AUAUGGAUACCUGCAGUAAUUCUGGAAAUAAUACAUGCUGUAAGAGCCCUGUAUGGGGCUGCACUUAUUAGAUUGAAGCCGAUUUUAUUGGUGAAUCAUGAUAAUUGAGCAGAUUGACUKUUUUGGUCGAUGAUCGUUKGAGUUUCUGCCCCAUCAKUUGUCGACGGUAGUGUAUUGGACUACGGKGACUAUAACGGGKGACGGAGAGUUAGGGCUCGACUCCGGAGAGGGAGCCUGAGAGACGGCUACCAUAUCCAAGGAUAGCAGCAGGCGCGUAAAUUACCCACUGUGGACUCCACGAGGUAGUGACGAGAAAUAUCGAUGCGAAGCGUGUAUGCGUUUUGCUAUCGGAAUGAGAGCAAUGUAAAACCCUCAUCGAGGAUCAACUGGAGGGCAAGUCUGGUGCCAGCAGCCGCGGUAAUUCCAGCUCCAGAAGCAUAUGCUAAAGUUGUUGCAGUUAAAAAGCUCGUAGUUGAAUUUCUGGCAUGGGCGACCGGUGCUUUCCCUGAAUGGGGAUUGAUUGUCUGUGUUGCCUUGGCCAUCUUUYUCWUKUYUUUWUWGGKRWGARAUCUUUCACUGUAAUCAAAGCAGAGUGUUCCAAGCAGGUCGUAUGACCGGUAUGUUUAUUAUGGGAUGAUAAGAUAGGACUUGGGUGCUAUUUUGUUGGUUUGCACGCCUGAGUAAUGGUUAAUAGGAACAGUUGGGGGUAUUCGUAUUUAGGAGCUAGAGGUGAAAUUCUUGGAUUUCCGAAAGACGAACUAGAGCGAAGGCAUUUACCAAGCAUGUUUUCAUUAAUCAAGAACGAAAGUCUGGGGAUCGAAGAUGAUUAGAUACAUUCGUA
rnacentral:rRNA from 1 species